GGAAAAUACUACUCUGCUUGCCCAUCUGGGGCUGAGCCUUUAAAUUUGACAGACGGAAGCAGCUGUGGCCCUAAAGUGGCCAUUUUGCAACUGAAAACUGCUUGCUUCAGCUUCCUGUUUCUCAGUUGGGCCAGCAGUGGUUGAACCAAGAAUGAAUUGAACCAAACCUUUGACCCAACUUUGAGCCAAGACUCUGAGAAGAUUCUCCAUCAGGAAGGAGAGGAGACGGGGUCAUGGUUUAAGAAUGAAGCUUCAAUACUCAUCUUCUACCUUUAAAAUUAAUUGAAAAUAUUUUUGUCAUUUUCCAACUAUCAAGAAAAAAAG